GAGCUGUCCUCUUCUGCUGCCUGCCGAUCACCAUCCCACACAGCCUCCAGAUCGUUUAGGUCAAAAGGAAAGAGACUAAGUAGCUUAUUGGAUACAAAAGCACAUCUGGUCUGCCAUUAUGGCUUCAUCUGCCUUCCAUUUGGGGCCUACUCAGGAAGCUCUAAAUACCGAGGCAGGACAGAAACUAUACAGGACAUCCAUACCAGCACCCCAGCAUGCAGUACAUUCUGAACAUGGGAACUGUUAGUGGACCUGAGGAAGGCAUUAGUGAAACACGUAUCCCCAUUACCAAAAUAAAAAAUAUUUUUUGU